UUGGUCGAGGUAGCUGCCGGAAAGG
rnacentral:miRNA from 1 species